UACGUAGGGGGCAAGCGUUGUCCGGAUUUAUUGGGCGUAAAGAGCGUGUAGGCGGCCAUACAGGUCAGCUGUGAAAACUCGAGGCUCAACCUCGAGACGUCGGUUGAAACCGUAUGGCUAGAGUCCGGAAGAGGAGAGUGGAAUUCCCGGUGUAGCGGUGAAAUGCGCAGAUAUCGGGAGGAACACCAGUGGCGAAGGCGGCUCACUGGUCCGGUACUGACGCUGAGGUGCGAAAGCGUGGGGAGCAAACAGG
rnacentral:rRNA from 1 species